rnacentral:tRNA from 1 species
UCCCUGCUGGUCCAGUGGUUAAUACUCUGCGCUUACAAUGCAGAGAAACCGGGUUGGAUCCCCGGUCAGGGAA